rnacentral:rRNA from 1 species
CCCUUAGAUGUCCGGGGCCGCACGCGCGCUACACUGAAGGAAUCAGCGUGGCUUUCUCCCUGACCCGAAAGGGUUGGGAAACCCGUUGAAUCUCCUUCGUGAUAGGGAUUGGGGCUUGAAAUUGUUCCCCAUGAACGAGGAAUUCCCAGUAAGCGCGAGUCAUAAGCUCGCGUUGAUUACGUCCCUGCCCUUUGUACACACCGCCCGUCGCUCCUACCGAUGAAUCGUCCGGUGAAGUUCACAGAGUGGCGGUUCGUGGAGUUGCUCGCGAAGUGAAAUGGACCUCACGAUUUAGAGGAAGGAGAAGUCGUAACA